GUGCUGAAGAGGCGGGCUGUAUGAACUGUCCAAUCAGGCGGGCCAAGUUAGGCGGUCUCUUCCGGUGUCAUGGCGUCCAUUGCAUGUCUGGAACAAAACAGGGAGAGCUAAAUGUUUGCUAGACUGCGUUUCACGGCUUCGAUUUGCUGUGGACUGCUUAGAAAGAACCUGAGAGACCUCCGAGCUAUGCAAUGGUGACGUUACGGGAUGGCAGCAGUGAAAUGGGGUGGAAGCAGGUUGAGACCAGUUAGAAGUGGUGAGAAGGAGCUGUGCUGUCUAGAGCGUGCUUACUUAGCUUCAGACCCUGAGGUCCUCUAAGGCUAACAGUGAGUCCUCUGUCCCUUUUACCUAUCGCUGGAGCCAGGACAGUUCUGGAUCCCUAGAACGCUGUCGGCACUGUGACACCACAGGCCACAGUGCCUUUUUUGAAAUUGCCUGCUGCCCUUGACCCUCCAACAGUCUGGGCUCUGGAACGGGUGUGGGGAGACCCUGACUCCGAUGUGGUUUCGAGCUGGGUGCAGCUGUAAUAAGCUAGGUCUCUGCUCUCAUUCUUGUGAGUAACAGAUUUGGAAGGUAGAAGGUUAUAAAUGUCUGUGAUGCAGCACCUCAUAGCCACAACUGCUCUCCUUAAAUUUUUUUGUUUGUACUGAUCGCCUAAAUUUAUAGUAUGUUCUUGGAUUUACAUCCUCAUGACAGGUGGUGGCAAAUUCAAAGAUGUUUAGUGAUGUGCCUCAGUGGAGGAAGGUUCCCAAACACACGGUGAACUCCCUUUAUCAUACAAAACCAUGCAAAAGAAUUUGUGAACACACUUAAUUAUUUAGGAGACACCCCUGCUCAUAGACUGUGUUUAUGAGAACAGCCAUAGAGUUUUGAAUUCUGAGAAAAAUGAAGCAGAUGUGAAAGUGCUAGCAAGGGCAGGGUAAAGUGUGCUUGCUAAGGACAAAGUCAAUAAAGGCCUGAGUGUUACAUCCUCAUUGAAAAAAGUCUAAACGUAGGCAUUUGCAUGGACAUAUACAAGUGAUAUCUUUCUGAAUUGAAAGGAAUGUGGGUGUCAUCUCUGAAUAGACAUGAUUUAAUAGCCUGUUUGAUCGUAGACAUUGUUUAAAUAUGGAAAUUCUCUGCAAUGAACUUUACUAAAUGGUGUAAAUGAGAAGACCUAAUUAGAAAUUGUGCAGGGAUAUCAAUAGUUAGGCACGAAGGGUUUUCUGCUUAGGGUUGAUCAGAGGAGCGUGGAAAAGAUGUGAAAGUGAUUGGUGUGAUGCAGGGUGCCAGUAGUGGGACAUACAACAGAGAAGGUCUUCACUGAAAGUCAGGCAGUUCUUAGAGUAGGUAUGAAGAUAAAGUUGUGCUCUGAUUAGUUCCAUGAGAUGAAUAACGCUAGCUCUGGCAACAAUCUGUAUUCCUCAUCCUUGUCCAAACAUGAAUUCUGUGUUCUAUACUAAUUUUGAUUAUCUCUAAUUAUGUCCCAGUGUCAUUAAGGUGAAAUUGGAGUUUUACUUGUACCAGGGAGCAAACUCAUGACCUCAUGCUUGCCAGGCAGGCAUUCAUGCCGCUGAGCUAAAUACCCAGCACUGAAAGUGUUUUCUGUAUACCAUGGAAGAUAGUAACGUUGUUUCUUAGAAAGUGUUGAAUAUUGUUGGAAUUUUUCUAUAUUGUAUGCUUAUAAUUUUUUAAAACAAACCAAAGGUGUCUUAUGCAGUCACUUUUCAAGUUUCAAUUUGUCUGAGCGGUGUCUGAGUCAGGGUUUCAUUAUUUCAGACAGCUCUGUAACUUAAGCUACCCCCAAACUCGAGGCAGUUCUCCUGCAUCAGCCUCCCAAGAUAUAUUUCUGAAUGGAAAGUGAUCACUUCGUGACCCUCAGCUAUAAUUUACAGCUUGGACCUGGUGUCAUUGUUUAUACAUUUUUACAUAAAACUGUUUUUCAUUAAUAUUUGAGUCAUUAUUUGUGUACCAUAUUGGAUGUUAUUUAUGUUUUGUUCCAUGAGACCAAAUUCAAGUAUCAAAAUGCUGCUUAAGUAUUUUAAGAACAGAGGACUCAGUGGCCUAAAUGAGAUUUGAAGAGAUAUCAUCUGUAUUCUAUCAAAGUGAUUGAGGAGGUAUUUACCUGCCUCUGUGCUUUGUGGAUGCUGGUCCUGCAGGCUCCCGCUGUGAGUGCUGCUUUAGAGACAGGGAUUCUUGCAGUGACUCAGUACAAGAAUCAGUGCUUCUGUUUGUCUUUUACAUUAGCAGUGAGGUACAAUAUAGCAUCAAAAUUGCUGUCUCCAAUAAUGUGUAUAUACACAAAAUUAAGGACUAAGACAUGGAAUUAAAAUUUGAAGAAUUCAGUCUCCAUUCAUCUGUUUUGAAUUAGUUUAGUUUAGUUUGAGACAGCCUUUCUCUAUGUUUAUCAGCUGGUUUUGAACCCCCAUGGAGCCUACAAUUUCCCUGACUUCACAGCAUCCCUCCUGUCUCAGCCUCUUGAGUGCUGGGAUUAUAGAUAUGUGUUUUUUAACCCUACAAAAUAUUGAGGCUUGGCACUGUAACUUAGCUGUAUUGUAGCUUGGCAUAAUAGAUGCCAUCUUGAGCUUUGCAUUUAACUAGUGCCCUGUAUUUCACCCACAAAAAUGGAAAGUCACUCUGGGUUGAAGUCCCAGGAGAAAAGCAAAACUAGCUGUACCGAAAGAAAAAAAUUAACCUGCUCAACAAAAGGAGCAGAAUACUGUUGUCAUCCAAAAAUUAUUAUAAGAGACUAGCUAAAUGAUUUCCAACAGGAUCUUUUUUGUGAUUGUAUCUUAUAAAACAUCUGUAACUUUCCAGUUUAAAGCCUCUCAUUUAGAUCCUGAAAUGGGGGUUGGGGUUCUGUAUACAAGUGGUCCUGAGACCAGCUAAUGAAAUUCCACAUUUCUCAAUUGUGUUGCUUGGAUUCCAAUAUUGUUGUUCACAAAGUCAACUCAAGCUGCAGAAACCUUUACUGAUACAAGCAAACACCAGGAUAAAAUGCCAAUGCCACUGAAAUGAAAGAAUAAUAGUGAAAAGGAGAGGAGAAAAAAGACAAAACACCAUGUGUUAUAAUGCCCACCUCUUUUCCCCAGCAAUAAAGAAGCUGAAACAGGAGAAUGGCCAUAUACUCAAGGGUAGCCUAACCUACACAGUGAGUGCAAGGCUGGCCAGAAUUCCAAAGUGAGCCUAAGUCUUUAAAUCAUAAAAAUAAAAUGAAAAAAAUAAACAACAAAUGAGAGAGAAAGACUAUUUAAAAAAAAACAAUAAUAGAGCUGAGUGAAAGUUUUGACUUAUCUAAAAUGGGAUUUAUUGAAUGAUGCUGCAGAGGAAAGAAGGCCAUGUAGUGGCAUCCAGGAGGCAGUGACAAAAACAGACUUAGGAAUGGCACCUUUUGUGCUAAAGCACAACAGUGACCUCUUUCCUCCAAGACAUCUGCAAUUCACUAGACUGAGGACUUCUAAAAGCUCUUGGAAAUGUUAAUCUCAUGGCAAACAAGCAGCUUGAAUUCCAGGCUUUGAAACUUGGCCUUUAGCAGACAUUUCAUAUUCAAUUUGAAAUAGGAGAAAUAAAACCCUGCCCUGUUUGCUGUUGAUUGUUGCCUCACAACGUUGAGGAAUGAAGUCACAAACCAAAAGAAAUUCAAAAAUUUUCAUAGAAAAAAAGAGAGAAUAGCCCUGAAUUUUCAUGAGGGGUCUUCAGUGUUUUGGCCACAGACCUAUUGUGAGGGGUCAUUUAUACAGCAAAGUUGCAAUGUGGCUACAGUGUGGGUCUCAAACUACAAUCAACCUAUAAGCUUAUAGCUGCUUAACUAAUAUUAUUCAGCAGGGGAACAAGUCACCCCUAAAAGGUAUGUGGAAAGAGCCAAGGCAUUGUGUGGGAACAAUUGUCUAGUUGCUCUGGUCAUUGAGUAUGGUAAUUGAUGCCUAUCAGGCCUUCCUGGAGGAGGUGGUAACUGUAGCACAUUUCAAGCUGUUUCUUUUGUCUUCAGGAGCAUGUAGACAUUGUCACUGCAUCUUCACCUUCAGGUCUGGCUUUCUUCAGCUGUGCCUGUAGAAGUGAUUGCUGUAUUUAGUUUUUUGCAUUGACUCUUUGAGGUUCCAGUUCCUCUUGAUUGUAUAUCAAUUUCUGUCUAGGUUGACAUCCUUUACUGAAAUCACAAUACUAUUUGAAUGGAUAAAGUGGUGUUUAUACAAUCAAAAAUAUUCAUUAAUAGAGGCCAGGGAUUUAGCUUACCAGGCAGAAAUGCCUGCUUAGAAAGUGCUAGGUUGUAACUUUGAUCCCUGGUACCUAAAAAAUUAAGUAAUUUAAACUGCAACUAAAGAAAAUAAUUUCAUUUGUGAAAGUGUAGGUUUACAAAAUUUAUAACUAAAUAUGUCAUUGGCAAAUUAAACAUUGUUAAUAGUCAUAUUUAGUAUCUAAAGUUUUUGGGGCUGGGAUUUAGCUCAGUGGUAAAAGGAGCUCCCUGAAAACACAAGGUCAUGAGUUCAAUCCCUUAUACAAAAAAAAAAAAAAAUUCACAGUUGUCAAUGAUGCAGUACUAUGAGGACAUUUAUUAAAAUAGAUACUUGUUAAUUAUUAGACUCAAUGUUUCUUUUGUGGUCUACAAAAUAUCUACAGAUAACAUGGCAAUUACAGUGAAUGAUAUAUUGUCCCCUAUAGGAUUGCUAUUUUCAAAGUUGUGUUUAUUUUUUGUUUUCCCACAUACUUGAAAGAUGAGGGGCUGGGAUUUAGCUCAGUGGCAUGAGCACCUGCCUUGCAAGCAGGCAGUCGUGAAUUCGAUCCCCGGUACCGGUAAAAAAAAAAAAAAAAAAAAAAAAAAAAAAAAUUGAAAAUGUUGAUUGAUGCUAGGUAGAAAAUCUGUGAUAAUCAUUUUUUCAAUUUAAUGAUAUAUUUCUCUAUAUCCAUUAAGAACAUUAUAUUUGCUGCAAUUAUUCCAAGUGAAAUUGAUAAACAAUUCUUAAAGUUACAGGCAGCUGAGUUAGUUUGAAAUACAGGAAGCCAUACUGUGAUAUAGUGGAAUGAAAUUCCUGAACUUCUAUGUCUGGUAUGAGUUUGUGUUCUCUAAAAUGGAAGAAUAAAUUUUAGGAACAACAGAAGUGAAGAGCAGAAUAUAUUUAUUGAGAUAUUGAGACAAAGAAAGUGAAAGUAUUUUGCCCUAAAUAGGAUUUUUUGGCAGUGGGAUGUGAAACCAGGGGACUUUUAUCUUGAGGUCACUUUCCCUCCCCUGUGCAACUUACCUGUGGCCUGAAAAGAGUCUCAAUCAGCUACUUGCAUAUCAGGAAUGCCACCUUUAAGCACCACCCAAGUCAAAACUAUAUGUAUGCCCCCCACACAUUUCCAGAGGAAAAUGCCAGACUCCCAGUGGUAAUGGGAUUCUCUCCAUGGUCUUAGAAUAAAGGUAAACCUACACAAAGUGGAGCUGCCUGGCCCCACCAUGGACCAUGAUCAAAUGCAGCAGAAGACAUUGGGCAGCAAAAUACCCCAACCUGGCAUUCUUUGAGACCUUGCUCCAGGGCUGCUGGACUGUCCUAGCUACCAGAGUGUGGCCACUGUGGACAGCUGCCCCCAACCAUGCCUCUCUGCCUGGAAGUGAGCUGAGUGUGGACUACAAUCUGCCAAAAUUGAUUCUACACAAGAAUCAAAAGUGAGAAGAAAGCCAACUGAUGCACUAAUGAUCAAAGGAAAUAUUCACAUUCACACAGUGUUCUGUUGGUGAUAUCUUCAGCUGGAGACCACCUACCAAGGAACAUGGCUGUCCAUUCUGCACCAAGGGAAAUUCAUUGCUCUUUCUCUGUUAGCUCCAGUAUGGCCCCAUUUUGAAGAUGUAAUCAACCCACAUUGCAGCAAUAUUUACAGACUAAGACACAUAUUUAUAUGUAAUGAAACCUGUUUGGGGAACAAUGUCUCAAACAUGAGCUCUUCUGCUUCCUUAUCAGUAGUUUUCUAAAGGUCCAGGUGAUGCUUGUGUCCUAGUGCUGUCUGUUUGGUGAUACCUGUGUUGUCUUUGCCAUUAGACACUGUCUUUCUCUCUAAUAUAUACUACCAUAAACCCAAAAACAUUUUCUACAAUAUAUACUGAACAUUUUAAAAUGGUAUUUCCUUUUCAAAUAUGUAUUCUUCUUCCAGGUUUAUUCCUUCUUAGGUUCAUUCACCUCCCAUGUGAAAACAACAUAGUCACUUGAGAGUAAGACAAAAAAAUUUUAAGAAAACCUGUGAUUUAGACUUUCAAGUGGAAGAGUAGUUGUUCUUGGGCAAUGUACAUGCUUUUUGUCAUGUAGCAAGGUAGUCUGUCAUGUGAAUUCUCCAGGCAAUUUCUGUCUUUUCUUCUGUUGUUACAAGUCUGUAAUGUAAGAGUCAUAUGCUUUUCUAUUAAAAUAGAAGUGUAAUGCCCCUUAUAUGAUGAACAUGAUUCAGUUUGCCCAAUAUAUGCUUCCAACAGUAGAUAGUAAUGAAACACACACACAGCAUUAUAUAUAUAUAUAUAUAUAUAUAUAUAUAUAUAUAUCAAAAGUUUAAAUGAUAAAUUAUGCAUUUAAACUUAAUUAAUGAUGCUGAAUUGGUUAUUCAAAUUAUAGUGUAGCUGGUGCCCAGUGAAUGUGCUGUCUUUCUUGGAAUGUUGCUUUUGCUGUUGUACUCAUCUUUCUUUUCAUGAUGUGACAUCAGUAGAUCUGAGAUAAAUUGAUGCUAACAGUGGAUCAUAGUGGCUUAAAAUUUAGUCGUGCUGUGUGGCACAAGAUUUGAACCUAGUAAUUUUUAUGUUUGUAGUUUUUAAUAUUAGGUCCUACUGCACUGACAAACUUAACAUGUGGAUAAAUAGGGAGUAUGAUUAUGUUGGCUGCUUCCAUAUCCCUCAACCCCACCUACUGGAUAUACCAGAGCAAAGCUGAUACCUCAAAAUAAAGGCAGCCCUUCAUCAAA